rnacentral:rRNA from 1 species
AAUAUUGCGCAAUGAGGGAAACCCUGACGCAGCGACGCCGCGUGAGUGAUGAAGGCCUUCGGGUUGUAAAACUCUGUCCACAGGGAAGAAACAAAUGACGGUACCUGAGGAGGAAGCCCCGGCUACCUACGUGCCAGCAGCCGCGGUAAUACGUAGGGGGCGAGCGUUGUCCGGAAUUAUUGGGGGUAAAGGGUGCGUAGGCGGCCUUUUAAGUUAGAUGUAAAAGACCACAGCUUAACUGUGGGGUUGCAUUUGAAACUGUGAGGCUUGAGUAUCGGAGAGGGUAGUGGAAUUCCAAGUGUAGCGGUGAUAUGCGUAGAUAUUUGGAGGAACACCAGUGGCGAAGGCGACUGCCUGGACGAAAACUGACGCUGAGGCACGAAAGCGUGGGGAGCAAACA